rnacentral:rRNA from 1 species
GACGAACGCUGGCGGCGUGCUUAACACAUGCAAGUCGAACGGUGAAAGGGAGCUUGCUCCCUGGAUCAGUGGCGAACGGGUGAGUAACACGUGGGCAACCUGCCCCAGACUUCGGGAUAACGCUUCGAAAGAGGUGCUAAUACCGGAUACGAACUCCUUGGGCAUCCUUGGAGUUGGAAAGUUUUUCGGUCUGGGAUGGGCCCGCGGCCUAUCAGCUUGUUGGUGAGGUAACGGCUCACCAAGGCGACGACGGGUAGCCGGCCUGAGAGGGCGACCGGCCACACUGGGGCUGAGACACGGCACAGACUCCGACGGGAGGCAGCAGUGGUGAAUAUUGCGCAAUGGGCGAAAGCCUGACGCAGCAACGCCGCGUGAGGGAUGACGGCCUUCGGGUUGUAAACCUCUUUCAGCAGGGAAGAAGCGAAAGUGACGGUACCUGCAGAGGAAGCCCCGGCUAACUCUGUGCCAGCAGCCGCCGUAA